AUUCCAUGGUAAAGGCACCAUCUCAAUAAGUCAUUAUACCUUUCCCAUGCAUCAUAUAACAUUCUAAAUCAAUCUACAUGAAGGAAGAGAUAUCAUUCCUCAACUU
rfam:Gossypium arboreum cultivar AKA8401 contig_7655_7, whole genome shotgun sequence.